rnacentral:rRNA from 1 species
AUGAACGCUAGCUACAGGCUUAACACAUGCAAGUCGAGGGGAUACGAUGAGAGAGCUUGCUCUCUUAGUCGUCGACCGGCGCACGGGUGAGUAACGCGUAUCCAACCUGCCUCUGACCAAGGGAUAACCCGUCGAAAGUCGGACUAAUACCUUAUGCAGUCGUCGGAAGUCAUCUGAUGACGACGAAAGAUUUCAUCGGUGAGAGAUGGGGAUGCGUCUGAUUAGCUUGUUGGCGGGGUAACGGCCCACCAAGGCGACGAUCAGUAGGGGUUCUGAGAGGAAGGUCCCCCACAUUGGAACUGAGACACGGUCCAAACUCCUACGGGAGGCAGCAGUGAGGAAUAUUGGUCAAUGGGCGUAAGCCUGAACCAGCCAAGUAGCGUGCAGGAUGACGGCCCUAUGGGUUGUAAACUGCUUUUAUGCGGGGAUAAAGUGAGGGACGUGUCCUUCAUUGCAGGUACCGCAUGAAUAAGGACCGGCUAAUUCCGUG